rnacentral:lncRNA from 1 species
CUGGGCUUGAGCAAGAAUGCUUGCAUAACCCUGUAGCUCUUCAAGAGCAAUUGUGGCCAUCCCAGAGUUGUAUGUACAAAGUUUACUAUAUCUGAUUAAGAUAAGUAUGAUUGUAAAUUGUAUAUUUUGUAAUAACUCACUCUUAUUUACAGGUAAUGUAGUACUAAUGUUUGUCAUCAUGCCUGUGUGGUGGUCUGUCUGGCUGUGCAAAUUACAAACAAGUGCGAAAAUGAGAUUUACCAGAGAUUUACCCCGAUGCUGCCAGUGGUUUGCGGCUAUCAAGAAUGAUGCUUACAGUGACCAAAGGUUAUCAAAGGUGGCGCAGUGGUCUAAGGCACUGCAGUGCUUGAGGCGUCACUACAGAUCUGGAUUAGAUCAUGGGCUGUGUCGCAGCCGGCCGCGACCGUGAGACCCAUGAGGCGAUGCACAAUUGGCCCAGUAUCGUCUGGUUUAGGGGAAAGGUUUGGCCGGCUGGGAUGUCCUUGUCUCAUUCCGCUCUAGCGACUCCUGUGGCGGGCUUGACGCAUGCACGCUGACACAGUCGCCAGUUGUACUUGUUUCCUCUGAAACAUUUGGGCGGCUGGCUUCUGGAUUAAGCCAGCAGUGUGUCAAGAAGCAGUGCGGCUUGGCAGGGUCGUGUUUCAGAGGACCCUUGGCUCUCAACCUUCGCCUCUCCCGAAUCCGUACGGGAGUUGCAACGAUGGGGCAAGACUGUAACUACCAACUUUGGGAGAAAAUGGGCAAUUGAGGAGUGGUAAGAUGGACAGGGAAGGCAGUUAUGGGUGCAUCCCAUAAAAGGGGGCAUGGGCAAUACUACCACCUUGUCCAGGAGCUGCUCUUGGACCAUGCCUGACAUCACUGAUACAUCCGGAUGAGUGCAGAAGAGAUGGAGUCUUUUGUUGGCCCAGACCUCACCAAGCCGACGACCAACUACAGGACCCCAAUAGAGCCAAAGCAAAAACUAGCUGUCACUCUAAGGAGGGGAUUAUCAAUGUGACUGGGAUUCUUGGACCCAGCUCUCUUAAGAAAAUGUACUGAAGCUGUCAUCCCAGCUAUGUGUUGGAGACCUAAGUUCUGGUACUUGGCAUCUGGAGACUUUAUUUGCAGUCUGACCUUGACCUACCGUCUUGGAUUCGAGACAGUAUUGCAGUGCAUUAUGUAGACCUGUGAGGCCAUAGAGAGGAGGACCAUAGCGACCCAUCUGCCACGACCCACUGACGAAACCUGGAGACAAACUUCUCAAGAGUGUAAUGAAAAAUGGGACUUUCCCAAUUGUUUGGGAUUGGUUGAUGGAAAAUAUUAUGAUCACCAAACCACCAAACUCAGGAAGACGGUUUUUUUUUUUAUUAUAAAGGAACCUUCUCCGUGGUGCUACUCGCCCUUGUGGAUGCUAAAUACCACUUCACAGCUAUUGAGGUGGGGGAUUUUGGGAGAAACAGAGACGGCAGAGUAAAUAAAAAAAUUAAAAAAACAUCCUCUCACUGUCAACUGCGUUUUAUUUACAGCAAAAUUAACAUGUACAAAUAUUUGUAUUUACAUAAGAUUCAACAACUGAGACAAAAACUGAACAAAUUCCACAGACAUGUGACUAACAGAAAUGGAAUAAUGUGUCCCUGAACAAAGGG